UGAUAACACUGCGAGUGGUGGUGUAGUUUCGGAGGCUACCCAACAACAACAAGUGUCAUCGAGCGAAACAGACAAAGGAAAUACUCCAACAAAGUAGAUAGACGCUGAGUGCGAAAUCAAUAGUAGUUUAUAGUAAUUCCCCAAUUAAAUCUGCCCUAGUUUUUAUCGGUGCGCGAACGUAGUUAUCCUGACGGAGAUUAAACAGGAUCGUUGUGAUUGUGAUCAAUCGUACGAUGGACGUGGUGUAAGGUUCUCACACUGUCUGCAUUUGUGUUUGCUAGGACCACAUCGGAGUCUGCAGAUAGGUUCUAAACAGCAAUUCCACUCACAACUACGAGGAGUGACGAAGACCAGCAGUUGUGACGAAGUAUCUUGAGUCGAACAUUAGGGUGGCUCACCACCACAUAAUUCGCUGCAGAGACGAGUGAAACAUAUCAUUGUUCCUUCGCUAUUUCUAGG